rnacentral:snoRNA from 1 species
AGGCACGCACAUACAGACACGUAAAUAGAAAUAACACCAACACUAGGGAGCAGCUGAAAAUGCUCCCUGCACUUUCUGUUUUUGUCGUGGUCCAGACUGAACCGGGGAGGACAUUC